UUUUUUUUCCAAUCCAUAAUUUUUAUUUUAUAUUUGCGGAUUUUUUUUUCCGUUUGAUUUUCUCGGGAAAAUCUUCUCUGGCUUUUGCUGAGAUCGAAGUGUGUGAGCACGAAAUCUGGAUGUGACUGUUGGUGAAUCGGAGAUGAGGAACGUGAACAAUACCGUCGAGACGGUGAACGCUGCCGCAACCGCCAUCGUCUCCGCCGAGUCCCGCGUCCAGCCGACGGCGGGUGAGAAGAGAAGAUGGAGAAGCUGCUUGAGCCUUUACUCUUGUUUUGGAUCCCAAAAGAACAAUAAACGGAUUGGUCAUGCUGUGCUCGUCCCAGAGCCGGUCGCACCUGGAGUUCCGGUGGCUACAAUCCAGAACUCGACAGCUUCAACUCCAAUUGCUCUUCCCUUUAUAGCCCCUCCUUCAUCUCCUGUGUCAUUUCUGCAAUCUGAUCCUCCGUCGGUGACUCAAUCCCCCGCCGGUCUGCUUUCCCUCACCGUCAAUACAUAUUCCCCAUGUGAACCUUCAUCGGCAUUUGCUACGGGUCCUUAUGCACAUGAAACUCAACCAGUCACUCCUCCCAUAUUCUCUGCCUUCACAACAGAACCCUCCACUGCACCUUUCACCCCUCCUCCCGAAUCAGUUCACAUGACUACCCCUUCUUCCCCUGAAGUGCCCUUUGCUCAGUUGCUGACAUCAUCGCUAGAGCGAGCUCGGAGGAAUAGCGGCGGGAUGAAUCAAAAGUUCUCGUCGUCACACUAUGAGUUUAAAUCUCAUCAUGUGUACCCGGGGAGCCCUGGCGGUAAUCUAAUAUCCCCUGGCUCUGUGGUUUCAAACUCUGGUACAUCUUCUCCUUACCCAAGAAAGUAUCCCAUCGUCAAUUUCCGUGUGGAUGUACCUCCAAAGUUCUUUGGUUCUGGAUCUAUUACUCCUUUUGGGCAAGGUUCAAGGUUGGGUUCUGGUGCUCUGACCCCUGACGGGGGAGGCUUCUCAAGGUUGGGGUCUGGUGCCGUGACACCGAGUGCUGUUGGGAUUUCAAGACUUGGUUCUGGAACUAUGACACCCGAUGGCGUAUGGCCUGCACCUCACGAAGGCACUUUCAUGGAGAAUCAGAUCUCUGAGGUGGCAUCACUAGCCAAUUCAGAUCACGGGUCGGGGUCUAGACAUGAGGAAAUAGCAGUAGAUCACAGAGUUUCGUUCGAGCUGACUGGCGAAGAUGUAGCUCGUUGUCUAGCGAGCAAGUUAAGCAGGUCUGGGUUAGAUAGUAACCAGUUCGAGACAGAGGAAACAGUUCUAGACAGACGAACCAGCAGCCAUGGGGAAACAUGUGGAAAUAUGUCUGAGAAAGGACAUGGAGAAACAGAAAGUGAACAGGCUCAAAGGCUACGAUCGUUCUCGGUAGGAUCGAGCAAAGAAUUCAACUUCGACAACAGAAAAGAAGAGAUCCCGGAGAAGGCAGCAGUUAGGUCAGAGUGGUGGGCGAACGAGAAGGUCUCAGGGAAAGGCGAAAGCCCCGGAAACAACUGGAGUUUUUUCCCGGGUUUACACUCUGGUGUAAGCUAAGCUUGAGAAAUUCUCCGAUCAUAAAGUCACAAAAACGGCUAACAAACCAGGAAGUUCACCUGGGCCUUCGGCCCAACCUACAUCUCCCUGAGCCCGGGAGCAGCCUUUGAACACACAGCCUUUGGCUAUGCCUCUCCCUCCCCGCAUGCCUGAAUUCGAACCCCUGACCUGGAGGAGGAACACCCUCACUUCCAGUUCAGGUACCACUCGACCACAGACAUGUGGGUAGAAAACCCUUUUCUUCUGUGUCGAUAUAUUCAUUCAUGUGAUAGAAUAGAGCCCGUGUUCUGAAAUCAUCUUUUCCAUCCGACCGCAUGAAUGCGUCAAUGUUAUUCAAACUUUGUUGUGGUACUUUAGACCGGAUCUGGGUAUCCGAAAACAGGGCAGGGUGAAGUUGAGACUAGGCGUGGACGGCGAUCGGGCUUGAAUUCGAAUUCUGUGAUCAUAAUUCUUGGAUAUCUGAGCCGGUUUCCAUCGUCUAAAUCAUCAUCGUGACCUCGCCUGAGUCAUCUCGUUUCGUCCACACCCUCGGAUACAUCUCAAGAUGAUUUGAACCAUUCGAAUUUAAAAUUAGAUAACCCUACAAUUUUUAGAUAUCAACGCUAAAAUACACACCAUGGAAAAGAAACCAGCCAUAGCAUCUUUAUCAAAAAUAUCUUUACUUUGUCGAGAUGAUAUCCAUGUAUCAUUUUUCGUAUAACCAAUGUGAUCAUUUUAAACAGUAGUCACACCGAUAAAAUUGCAUGAUGAUCAAACUAUUCAUAUUGAUUGUAUCGUUAAAAUUAUAUGACCGGUGUAACCAUCAUUUACUAAUCAAACUAGUUAAAAAAAAAUAGGUUAAAAAAUUACUCUAAAUUACAUUUAACAAAUAAGAGUA